rnacentral:rRNA from 1 species
CAGUAGCCGCGGUAAUACGUAGGGUGCAAGCGUUAAUCGGAAUUACUGGGCGUAAAGCGUGCGCAGGCGGUUUGUUAAGACAGAUGUGAAAUCCCCGGGCUUAACCUGGGAACUGCAUUUGUGACUGGCAAGCUAGAGUCUGGCAGAGGGGGGUGGAAUUCCGCGUGUAGCAGUGAAAUGCGUAGAUAUGCGAAGGAACACCGAUGGCGAAGGCAGCCCCCUGGGCCAACACUGACGCUCAUGCACGAAAGCGUGGGGAGCAAACAGGACUAGAUACCCCGGUAGUCCCUGUCUCUUAUAC